GUUUUUUUUUAAUAUCUUUGACCCACAAAUAUAAGGAAGUUGAAUAUAUAACAAUAUAUUUCAAUGAACCAUAGUGAGGACUUUCCUCUGAAAUGAAUUAUUGGUCACUUUCAAAAUAAUUUACAAAGCAUAGUGAACAGACAUAACGUUUAGACCUAUAAUGAAACAAAGAAUUAUGAGAUACAGACGAUGCCAAUGAAAUCACAACCUUGAUCGUCAGAUUGAAAGUGCCGAGAACAUUUUACAUGAAACAGUUAUUAUGAAGAUUGAAAGUGCCGAGAACAUUUUACAUGAAACAGUUAUUAUGAAGACUGCUUAUUUGUGCAAGACUUUAAAAAAUGAUUUUAUUGGAUAAGAAGAAAGUUUUGGACAGUAUACCUGUAAUUCAUCAACUAAAAUGACUCAAAGAAUGGACAUUCGUAAAUGCAAGAAACAACACCGGUUUAUAUAUGUAGACUACAUAUUCAAAGUUUAUAUUCUUGGACAUCUUAAGAAGGUGUCAUUUACUACACAAUUUUGCAUGCUUAUUGCAUGCUUAAUCAACAACAAAACAUUCUUUGAACAAUGAAUUAUUUUAUAUGAAAGUGAUCAAAGUAUUAAGAUCUUUACAUUUGUCUGCUUUUGAUAAUGCAACAUUUUGCAAAAUGAAUUUUAAGUAUGUGGGUUAAAUAUGGUGGUUUGUCAACACGUCUGAUGAAGAAACAAACAACCAUUUACUGAUUGGAAAACUAGACUAUUAAUGGAAAUAUUUAUUAGCUUGUAUGGAGAUAUGGAUGAAAACUAUUAUCAUGAGCUUGCCAUAUCACAAGAGGAUUCACCAAUUCGGACAUGGAUGAACACUAUUAUCCUGUGCCUACUAAGAUGACAAAAUAGAUGAUGACCAGAUCAAAAUAGACAUUGAAAGUGACCAUUGACCCUGUUAAAUUGCCCCUCUCACAAAAUUAACUUAAAAAAUUCUUUGUAAGGCCAUCAAAGUAAUUGGUUGGAUUGCAAACAAGUAAAGAUCAUUAUUUUUCUAAUACUAUCAUGCCAUAGCUAGAAGCGCAAGAACAAUGUACACACAUUUAGGUUAUAAAAAAAAAGUUCCAUACUGAAAUAGAUUGAAUCCUGCCUUCUGCUAUUAUUUCAAGUUCUUGAUGAAAAGUCAAGUGAUAUUUUACACAAACUGAUUAUGAAUUUUAUGUUGUAUUGGACUAGUCCUCUUGAACUCAAAAAUCUAAUUUCAUGAUCCAAACAUACUAUUCAUUGCCAGAGAUAUAGUCGUCAUUUGCAUUGAAGCCUAAUUUUCUAUUAAUAAAAGGAGAAUGCAUUUUAGCUGCAGAAUAGAUAAAAUAUUUAAGAUAAAGAAUCUUGGUUUCCAUCAUCAUUAUUAAGGUUCAGUCUGUGGUUUCAGUUUUUU
rnacentral:lncRNA from 1 species